UACAGAGGGUGCAAGCGUUAAUCGGAUUCACUGGGCGUAAAGGGUGCGCAGGCGGCCAAGUGUGUUAGGCGUGAAAGCCCGGGGCUUAACCUCGGAAUUGCACCUAAAACUACAUGGCUAGAGCAUUGGAGAGGGUAGCGGAAUUCACGGUGUAGCAGUGAAAUGCGUAGAUAUCGUGAGGAACACCAGAGGCGAAGGCGGCUACCUGGACAAUUGCUGACGCUCAGGCACGAAAGCGUGGGGAGCAAAAGGG
rnacentral:rRNA from 1 species